UCGAAGUCCGGGCCAGCAGCCUCGGUAAUACGGAGGAUCCAAGCGGUAUACGGAUUGAGUGGGGUUAAAGGGUCCGUAGGCGGGAGACUAAGUCAGUGGUGAAAGCCUGCAGCUUAACUGUAGCACUGCCAUUGAUACUGGUAUUCUUGAGUAUAGUUGAAGUGGGCGGAAUAAGUCAUGUAGCGGUGAAAUGCAUAGAUAUGACUUAGAACACCUAUUGCGAAGGCAGCUCACUAAGCUAUUACUGACGCUCAGGGACGAAAGCGUGGGUAGCAAACAGGAUUAGAUACCCUUGUAGUC
rnacentral:rRNA from 1 species